rnacentral:tRNA from 1 species
GUGGUUGUAGCUCAGUUGGUUAGAGCAUUAGAUUGUGGUUCUAAGGGUCGUGGGUUCGAACCCCAUCUUCCACCCCA